GCCAGGCAUGGUGGCACGUGCCUGUAAUCCCAGCUACUCGGGAGGCUGAGGCAGGAGAAUCACUUGAACCCAGGAAGUGGAAGUUGCAGUGAGCCGAGACUGGGCCACUGCAUGCCAGCCUGGGUGACAGAGUGAGACCCUGUCUCAA
rnacentral:SRP_RNA from 2 species